rnacentral:rRNA from 1 species
CUACGUGCCAGCAGCCGCGGUAAUACAGAGGGUGCAAGCGUUAAUCGGAAUUACUGGGCGUAAAGCGAGCGUAGGUGGUCAUUUAAGUCAGAUGUGAAAUCCCCGGGCUUAACCUGGGAACUGCAUCUGAUACUGGGUGACUAGAGUAGGUGAGAGGGAAGUAGAAUUCCAGGUGUAGCGGUGAAAUGCGUAGAGAUCUGGAGGAAUACUGAUGGCGAAGGCAGCUUCCUGGCAUCAUACUGACACUGAGGUUCGAAAGCGUGGGUAGCAAACAGGAUUAGAUACCCUGGUAGUCCACGCCGUAAACGAUGUCUACCAGUCGUUGGGUCUCUUGAAGACUUAGUGACGCAGUUAACGCGAUAAGUAGACCGCCUGGGGAGUACGGCCGCAAGGUUAAAACUCAAAUGAAUUGACGGGGGCCCGCACAAGCGGUGGAGCAUGUGGUUUAAUUCGAUGCAACGCGAAGAACCUUACC